GAUGAACGCUAGCGGCAGGCUUAACACAUGCAAGUCGAGGGGCAACGAGAGUAGCAAUACUUGUCGGCGACCGGCGCAAGGGUGCGUAACACGUGAGCAACAUACCCAAAUCAGGAGGAUAACCGGAGGAAACUCUGCCUAAUACUCCAUAAUAUCAUCUUAUGGCAUCAUGAAAUGAUAAAAGAUUUAUCGGAUUCGGAUUGGCUCGCGGGACAUUAGCUAGUUGGCGAGGUAACGGCUCACCAAGGCUACGAUGUCUAGGGGUUCUGAGAGGAAGGUCCCCCACACUGGAACUGAGACACGGUCCAGACUCCUACGGGAGGCAGCAGUGAGGAAUAUUGGACAAUGGUCGGAAGACUGAUCCAGCCAUGCCGCGUGAAGGUUACUGUCCUAUGGAUAUUAAACUUCUUUUUACGGGAGUCAAUAAGGUGCACGCGUGCAUCGAUGAGAGUACCGUACGAAUAAGCAUCGGCUAACUCCGUCG
rnacentral:rRNA from 1 species